GAUGAACGCUGGCGGCGUGCCUAAUACAUGCAAGUCGAGCGAACGGACUAGAAGCUUGCUUCUCUGAUGUUAGCGGCGGACGGGUGAGUAACACGUGGAUAACCUACCUAUAAGACUGGGAUAACUUCGGGAAACCGUAGCUAAUACCGGAUAAUAUUUUGAACCGCAUGGUUCAAAAGUGAAAGACGGUCUUGCUGUCACUUAUAGAUGGAUCCGCGCUGCAUUAGCUAGUUGGUAAGGUAACGGCUUACCAAGGCAACGUUGCAUAGCCGACCUGAGAGGGUGAUCGGCCACACUGGAACUGAGACACGGUCCAGACUCCUACGGGAGGCAGCAGUAGGGAAUCUUCCGCAAUGGGCGAAAGCCUGACGGAGCAACGCCGCGUGAGUGAUGAAGGUCUUCGGAUCGUAAAACUCUGUUAUUAGGGAAGAACAUAUGUGUAAGUAACUGUGCACAUCUUGACGGUACCUAAUCAGAAAGCCACGGCUAACUACGUG
rnacentral:rRNA from 1 species